UCUUAAGAUGGCUGCUCUUUGUUCCCAA
rnacentral:piRNA from 1 species